UAAUACGGGGGGGGCAAGCGUUGUUCGGAAUUACUGGGCGUAAAGGGCGUGUAGGCGGCCAACUAAGUCCGACGUGAAAUCCCCAGGCUUAACCUGGGAACUGCGUCGGAUACUGGAUGGCUUGAAUCCGGGAGAGGGAUGCAGAAUUCCAGGUGUAGCGGUGAAAUGCGUAGAUAUCUGGAGGAAUACCGGUGGCGAAGGCGGUAUCCUGGACCGGCAUUGACGCUGAAGCGCGAAAGCUAGGGGAGCAAACGGGAUUAGAUACCCCGGUAGUCCUAGCCCUAAACGAUGAAUGCUUGGUGUGGCGGGUAUCGAUCCCUGCCGUGCCGAAGCUAACGCAUUAAGCAUUCCGCCUGGGGAGUACGGUCGCAAGGC
rnacentral:rRNA from 1 species